AUUGAUUUUAUCGCGCAUCUAUGGUAUUUCAAUAAUUAUCUAUUGUCUUAAUCGUUAUUGACAUCGCGCAUCUAUGAUUAUUUCAUAUUUAUCUGUCAACUAUGUUUGACAUUUGUCGCCAUUUUAUAUUAUUCAGGUUUUUUACUUGCUUUUUGGUGCGUGUUUUAAGUGUGUUUAAUCUCUUUUCGUUAAUUAAAAGUUUAAUUGAUAUGUCUUUUUCCAUUUCUGCAGGUUAUCUAACGAGUGAGAGAGAAUUAAUGUUCAGUUUGGUCAUACUGAAACAGCCAAUGUCUACAUGGGCGUUGUCUUUCGUGGAAAUGCAUUUUGAUACUACUGAAAAAAUAAGUUGUCUCCUUCCUAUGAUGUUUUAUCUGUUACCUUUCCAUCUUGAAGACUCUUAUAGUUAGCCGAUUAAGAAUUUAUUCUACAAGAACAUUAGAAGAACUCAAGAUACCAUUAACUUAUGGAGCACUGGUUGUAUUAGUCCUCAUUUGCUAUAGAAAGUAGCUGUACCUAUGGUCCUAAGGAAAGCAUGAAAGUGCCUUUUUUGCAUUGGGAGAGGAGACAUAAGACAUUUAUAACUUGCUUCAGUAAACAACUUUUAAACUGAACAGUAGGAUUAAUGUGGAACUGAUCUUUUUAUCAGUGUGAAUGUUGCUAAUUUACUUGUUUUAAAAGUGGUAAUUAAUAAACCUUUUUCUUGCGUGGUUCUAUAGCUCACCAAUAACUGAGAAGGAAUUAAUUCUGGUGAUAUUAAAACAACCGACGCUUUUGAUGUGUUCACCUUGCAGCAUUAAGUACUUAAUUUUGGUUUUGAGAAUAGGAGACAAUUGUACAUUAAUUCGGAAGCUACUGGAAGGGCAAAUUAUCUUCAGUGGUUUGUAGAUUUGGUUUGCCCAUCGUACUGGUAGACUUUAGAAUGCUACUUUCUACAAUUCAUUCAGUAUGAAUUGAGGUUAUUCUGCAUCUGUACCUCUUAACCAUCCACGUCUACUAAUGGACGGCCUUACCGGUCAGAAUUGUGGUACAACGAAAGUUUCGGACAAUAUCGAUAUAUCGAUCUCUCUCACGAUAGUGCGU
rnacentral:lncRNA from 1 species